rnacentral:rRNA from 1 species
CGGCGGACGGGUGAGUAACACGUGGAUAACCUACCUAUAAGACUGGGAUAACUUCGGGAAACCGGAGCUAAUACCGGAUAAUAUAUUGAACCGCAUGGUUCAAUAGUGAAAGACGGUUUUGCUGCCACUUAUAGAUGGAUCCGCGCCGCAUUAGCUAGUUGGUAAGGUAACGGCUUACCAAGGCAACGAUGCGUAGCCGACCUGAGAGGGUGAUCGGCCACACUGGAACUGAGACACGGUCCAGACUCCUACGGGAGGCAGCAGUC